AACUUUUUUUGACAUAAAAAAUUGUGCUAACUCAGCACAAGAUGCUCAAUUAGCCUUAUUUUGUUGAGCAGUUAACAGCAUCAUGGUUGGGUUCGAAUGCAGAUUUUUCUGUACAUUAUUUUGUACAGUUUUUUUUUUGUAUGAUAGAUUAGUGAUAUACUCCAUAUCUGAAGCAAAACUGUGUCUUUCGCAUCUUUUACAGCUGUUUUAGGGGGUAUUGCUUCCUUUUCUACGGCAGUUUGGCAAGUUAACUCUUUUGCAGUUCUAAAUUUUGUUAUUUCUUGUAUACUAUUAUGCUCUCCAUUUUUGUUGUCCGAUGACUUUCAUUGAACCUGCAAUACAUGCACGGCGAAGAUUGAAACAUUGCACUUGGACUAAAUUGUAAUUUGCAACUAAUUUCACAUUACAUACCUUCCCUUCUACACAUGCAUGGAAGAAGCUUAUACUUCAGCUUAAAACAACAACCAUGUAUAUACUUCUUUGCACUGCUAAACAAGUUGGUAAACUGGCAAAAUCUGACGAAGCUUCUCGAACAGGGUAAAAUAAAGGAAAAAGUACGAAUUACCCCCCAACAACCGCGACAGUACGAAUUACCCAUCCGAACCUCAAAACCGGAUAUUUGAUACCCUAAACUAUUGAAACCGGACAAAUUACCCCCCUAACUUGAUUUGAAGCGGUUUUCAGCCUACGUGGCACACACGUGGCGAUACAGUCAGCAAAAACAAAUAAAAACAGGUGGAGCCCACCUGUCAUUUUUUUCUCUCCUCUCCCUUCUCUCUCUCUCGGUCAACACAGGCUACGGCUGGCGGGCGGCGGGCGGCCGAGGAGCCGACGCCGACGGGCGGCAGGCGGGCGAGGACCGAGGAG
rnacentral:lncRNA from 1 species